UCGAGCAAUACUGAAGUCCAAUCAGUGUUAGUAGUGUUUGUUCCAGAUGGCGAAUAAUCAACCGUGAUUGAUAGAGUACACAAGCACUUCGCGAAGAGAACUAGAGUUGUCCGGUUGUUGUUGGUAGGCAGCUGAAAAAGAUUAGUCAUCAGCUGAGAGUGUGAUUUUCCGUUCAUUCCGGAAUAAAAGACGAAGAAUUUUUUUCUCUGCUAGUGGUUAAUUGCUUCGGAACCGGAUUAUAACAAAAGUUCUAGGAAACUAGUGCUGCUCAGUGUUCAGAGAGUUUAUAAACUUGUUUGACUUGAAGCGUAUCACCUCUACUGCCGUUAGUUUCGGCGAUAACGAAAAGUGACGAUGGAUAUUUUUAUUCCGAUUAUUAUCUGCUUCGUACUAUUUGUGUUCUUUUCCCUAUGUGGAAUGUGCUGCAAAAGAAGACGUGACCAAGGAGCUGUGAUUGCCACACCAGUUGUAAUCACGGCCACCCAGCAUCACGUAGGACCCUAUCCGGUGACGCAAGUUGGCGGAACAACAAUGUCACCUCCCGUUGGAUCGGGGGUAGUCGUGCAACAGCACACUGGUGGAACUGGUGUUUAUCCGAUGCCGAGCUACAAUGCUUCACAGCCUACUGCAUACCAAAGCCAACCGUCGUAUCCGGUGCAGCAGCAACCCAUACAUCAGAUGCCGAUGCCAGUGCCAAUGCAGAUGCAAAUGCCGAUGCCCAUGCCUAUGCCGGGUGGUACGGCAGCUCCACCCAUGGUCAAUCCUCCCAGUUACAACGAAGUAGUAUCGGAACAUUACGGCAAACAAGCAGCGUACAAUCCGCACUUUACCGGUCAGUAGAGUAGUCAAGGAAUAAGAUAAAUUUAGAACCAGUGAUGGUCACGAACAGACUGCAUCGAACUAUAAACGAACAAAACAGCAUACGAAACAAAUGAUUUAUAUAUUUUGCUGUUACUAAUAAGAGUAUUAUGGACAAUGGAGCUCGGUGAAAGAUUGUGAGUAUGUUUCUAAGCAAAGAUGAUGUUUGGAUGAAUUUAGAAGAUGGACCACAUUUAGAAAACAGAAAUUAGAGAUUAUUCCACUGAUCUCUAAAAAAAAACAUUCGUUCUGUAUACAGGUUUUCCUUUUAAGAAUCAACGCAUCGCAAACAAAGUACGUGUAAGAAAUAUGUAAUCAUACUACGUGUAAAAAAAGUUCCCAUUCAUAGAUCCUCGUUGUGGAAGCCAGAGCCUAGCAGGGUAGAUACUUGUUAUUAUUUUCAAGAGAGUAAGAGAAAUCGACUGAGAAAUUACUUAUUCACAGUAGGUGUUCGUUCAUGUCGCCAUUGAUUUAACAAUAAAUAUCCUAUCGUUUAUCAUUAUUACGGGCAUAGCCGGUGACUUGACUGUUCAGAUAAACAAAAUGUAAGCUUAACCAGUACGUUGUUACGUUGAGUUUGAAAAUGCCAUGUCUGACCACUAGUAGCUAGUUUUAAGUUGAUAUGUACAACCUACCAAUGAGGUCGGAAAUUUCCGAGAAUUUCCAAUAUGUAAUAAAGUAUACAUUUUUCGAAUAA